rnacentral:rRNA from 1 species
CCUACGGGAGGCAGCAGUGGGGAAUAUUGCACAAUGGGGGAAACCCUGAUGCAGCGACGCCGCGUGAGUGAAGAAGUAUUUCGGUAUGUAAAGCUCUAUCAGCAGGGAAGAAAAUGACGGUACCUGAUCAAGAAGCCCCGGCUAACUACGUGCCAGCAGCCGCGGUAAUACGUAGGGGGCCAGCGUUAUCCGGAUUUACUGGGUGUAAAGGGAGCGUAGGCGGCAGCACAAGUCUGGAGUGAAAUGCCGGGGCUUAACCCCGGAACUGCUUUGGAAACUGUGCAGCUAGAGUGCAGGAGAGGUAAGUGGAAUUCCUAGGGUAGCGGUGAAAUGCGUAGAUAUUAGGAAGAACCCCAGUGGCGAAGGCAGCUUACUGGACUGUAACUGACGUUGAGGCUCGAAAGCGUGGGGAGCAAACAGGAUUAGAUACCCCAGUAGUC